GCUGCCCCUAGAGAUGCUGGAGGGGUAACUGCUGUGUCACAUGUGUGUCAGGAGGUGACAGAGAAGAGAGAGGCUAUGUCUACAUUCAGUGUUCUGACCUGUGAACUUUUGAAUGAUUAGUAGUCUAAUAUU